rnacentral:rRNA from 1 species
UGGGGAAUAUUGCACAAUGCGCGAAAGCCUGAUGCAUCAACGCCGCGUGAGCGAUGAAGGCCUUUGGGUCGUAAAGCUCUGUCCUUGGGGAAGAAACAAAUGACGGUACCCAAGGAGGAAGCCCCGGCUAACUACGUGCCAGCAGCCGCGGUAAUACGUAGGGGGCAAGCGUAAUCCGGAAUUAUUGGGCGUAAAGAGUACGUAGGUGGUCUUUUAAGCGCAGGGUUUAAGGCAAUGGCUUAACCAUUGUUCGCCCUGUGAACUGGAAGACUUGAGUGUAGGAGAGGGAAGUGGAAUUCCUAGUGUAGCGGUGAAAUGCGUAGAUAUUAGGAGUAGCAUCAGUAGCGCGGGAGACUUUCUGGCCUAGUACUGACACUGAGGUACGAAAGCGUGGGGACCAAACA